GGUAGGAUGGCAUAGUGGCAAUGCUCUCUUGCGGGUUUCUUUACAACUAGCAAGAGCCUCCUGGUUCGAAUCCAGGGCUACCCA